CCCAAAUAUUUAAAGCAGGCCCAAGCCCAAGUACUUUAUCACUGUCAUUGUUCAGUCCUACGACUUCACCGGCGGUUGCAAUAACUCCCGUCGCUUUCUCCUCCUCCAGGUAAGGUUCGGGUUGCAGUAACUGUCAAAAUGGCUCCGGCGAAAGCACAAAAAAAGGCAGACCCAAAGCUCAGGCUGUAAAGGAUGCCAAGGCUGUGAAAUCUGGCUCAACCUUCAAGAAGUCGGCAAAGAAGAUACGAACAAAAGUCACCUUUCACAGGCCCAGGACAUUGAAGAAGGAUAGAAACCCAAAGUAACCCCGUAUUAGUGCACCUCCAAGGAAGUGAACACUUUGAUCAGGCCUGAUGGAACCAAAAAGGCCUACGUUCGACUGACUCCAGACUAUGAUGCAUUGGAUGUGGUAAACAAGAUUGAGAUAAUCUAAACAGAAACUAGUUGUUUUCGCACACAAAUAGCUCAAUCGACAGUUUUGUUAGCUGUUUUCAGGUCAAAUAGUUUGAGUAGAUCUUAUAGUUGUGACUCUUAAUUAGAGAGGUCAAUAUGUUUGUACUCUUGAGAACAACAUUGUCACUCUUUGCUUACAUGUUAUGUUGGCUUAUGUACUGCUUUGGUUAAUAGAAUUGGUCCGGUUCGUAUUUAGUUGUCUGUUGAGACCAAGUUAAAGAUAUCGAGAUGUGUGCAUACUCAGAGUUGCAGUGUUACUUGGUUUAUAUUGACUUUGUAAACUCCCCAAUUUUGACAAUAAACAUUUGAGGAUGCA